UACGGAGGGUGCGAGCGUUAAUCGGAAUUACUGGGCGUAAAGCGUGCGUAGGCGGUUGAUUAAGCGAGAUGUGAAAUCCCGGGGCUUAACCUCGGAACUGCAUUUCGAACUGGUCGACUAGAGUUUUGUAGAGGGUGGUGGAAUUUCCAGUGUAGCGGUGAAAUGCGUAGAGAUUGGAAGGAACAUCAGUGGCGAAGGCGGCCACCUGGACAAAAACUGACGCUGAGGCACGAAAGCGUGGGUAGCAAACAGG
rnacentral:rRNA from 1 species